GUCAAGCCCAAGUGCUAUAACCAAAGCGACGGGGAGCAAAACUCAACGGCGUGGUUUCUAAACUACCUGGGGAAGUACCUGUCGUACUGCAAUGUGGAGGAUCUCAGAGCCUUCAGCGACAGCCAGCAGCUGCUGCAAGACUUCGCGGUGGAUCCUCACAACCUGGCGCUGGUGGGGGGAGUCGCCCUCUCGGAGGACGUGAAGGAAUUCUACUCCGAGCUGAUCGCGCGGCAGAAUCCUCCCGUCGCACUGGGAAGCAUCCCAGACAAUUUGAUCUGCUAUGUGGUCCGCAAGC